UACGUAGGGCGCAAGCGUUGUCCGGAAUUAUUGGGCGUAAAGAGCUCGUAGGCGGCAGAUCAAGUCCGGGGUGAAAGCCCCCGGCUUAACUGGGGAAGUGCCUUGGAAACUGAUGUGCUUGAGGGAGGUAGGGGUCGAGGGAACUUCUGGUGGAGCGGUGAAAUGCGUUGAUAUCAGAAGGAACGCCGGUGGCGAAAGCGCUCGACUGGACCUUUUCUGACGCUGAGGCGCGAAAGCUAGGGGAGCAAACGGG
rnacentral:rRNA from 1 species